rnacentral:lncRNA from 1 species
CUCUGACUCAAUUUUGGCUCAGGUUGUGAUUUCAGUGUCGUGAGAUGGAGCCCUAUGUCAUCAGGCUCUUUUCUGGGCAUGGAGUCUACUUAAGAUACUCUCUCCCUCUCCCUCUGCCCCUCCCCUCCCCCAUGUUCUCUCUCUCUCUCUCUCUCUCCAAUAAAUCAAUCUUAAAGAAAGAAAAAGCAGGAAGAGACAGAUACCAAGAGAGCUCCCUCUCUCUGUGUGCAGAGAGGAAAGGCCAUGUGAGGACACAGUAACAAGGCAGCCAUCUGCAAGCUGGGAAGUGAGGCCAUAGCACAAAUCAACCCCAGCCAUUCAUGGAGCUUGGACACCCAGCUUCCAUAACUACAAGAAAAUAGAUUUUUGUUGUCUAAGCCACCCAGUCUGUAGCAUUUUGUUAUGGCAACUCUAACAGACUAGUACAGGAUGUAAAGGUCCAAAAAGGUCUCUUCAACAAUUGAGAGAACUCUCAGUGCAGUAAAAUUCCCUGUAGGCUUCUUCAAAGAAAUACAUUGCUGGGACUCCUUUUGCCCCAUUGAUUAUUCCUUACUCACUGGUUUCUGUAAUUCAGAGAAAUAUUCUGCUGCCUUUGAGCAUCCUGUGGAAUAAGGAUCAUCAACAGGAGAGAUAUCACCUAAUCUCAACCAUAGAAAGACUCCCGCAGGGACCAAGGAACACAGAUCUCAGACCACUGCAGACAGCAGAGCUGUUCCACUUGUCACACCAAGGCUCUUUUCAGCUUGUGAUGCUAGGAGCUCAGAGGCAACAUCUUCAAUAAGCCUCCAAGGCCACUGUGGAUGAGCUCCUGAGAGGACAGGCCUGGAAGGAAUGUGUGUGCAUCACUUCUGCUGAUGUUCAUGGACUCGAUUUCAGUCACAGAGAUUUACAAGAUGAGAACAUUGCUUCUCCAGCAAAUGCACAAGCUUGUCAAGCAAACAAGAACAUCAGCAGCGAGAGCAUUAGAAAUGCAGCAGAUAAUAAAAACGCUGUGGCUUUCAGUGGGACUUGAAACCCUUACAAAGAGAGAACCCAACACACAGAAUCUAGGUGCUGAGAGUCCCGCGUCGAGGGCAUCAGAGCUGAGCGAGGGGUGACGCCGCAGAAUCCAUGAGCCGUGCCCACUAUUCCAACAUGCCAGUGACCAGCCUAGAUGUGCUUUUCCUAUUUCAUUAUGAGUUUAACAAAUCAACACCAGAUCUCUAAAGGACGAAUACUACACGAGGUACCUAGAGUAGCCAAAUUCUUUAGAGACAGAAAGGUAAGUGGCUGUUGCCAGGGCUGGGGGACGGGAGAAGUGGAGGGGCUCAUGGGUAAUGGGUGUAGGAUUUCAGUUUGGCAAGAUGAAACAAGUUCUGGUGAUGGAUGGUGGUGGUGGAGCUGACUGUACUUAAUACCACUGAACUGUACACGUAUAUUGGGUGAAAAGGGUAGACUUUGUGUUAUGUAUGUCUUAUCAUAAUUUUAUAACUAGUAAAAGAAAAGAAAUAAACACCCCAUUCACUCCCAUAUUUAUCUCCAAGGUUCACCAGAAUGGAGAUAUUUAUCACAUCCAGACCCGCCUUAGCAUUGUUUUCUGGGAGGAAUCAAACAGGAGAAAUGCACACCUUCCCCCCUCCCCCUGCCCCCCUGCACAAGAAGGAUAUAUAUGCACCACCC